GACGAACGCUGGCGGCGUGCCUAAUACAUGCAAGUCGAACGCAGUGGGGACGGGUGAGUAACCCGUGGGUAACCUCCCAUCAGAGGGGACAACACUUGGAAACAGGUGCUAAACCGAUACUGAUGGAUGGACCCGCGGUGCAUUAGCUAGUUGGUGAGGUAACGGCGCACCAAGGCCACGAAGCAUAGCGGACCGGAGAGGGUGAUCGGCCACACUGGAACUGAGACACGGCCCAGACUCCGACGGGAGGCAGCAGUAGGGAAGCUUAGGCAAUGGGCGAAAGUCUGACCGAGCAACGCCGCGUGAGUGAAGAAGGUUUUCGGAUCGUAAAACUCUGUUGUUAGGGAAGCGUUAUCUAACCAGAAAGCCACGGCUAACUACGUGCCAGCAGCCGCGGUAAUUC
rnacentral:rRNA from 1 species